rnacentral:rRNA from 1 species
CGCCAAGGGCGAAAGUACGGGAUCCCGACUGCAAACGUCGGGACACAAACAAUAUCAAAGCACCAAAUAAGAAAUCUAAAAACGGAUUCCGUCUCUCUUUUCUCGAUUUGGAGCAUUCUGAUUUGUUUCGUGCUUAGAGAUUAGUGCUUCGUGCUUUCCCGCAUCGCGCUUCGCGUGAUGCGGGGGCCGCAGCGAAAGUUUCUCUGGCGACUGUUUAUCAAAAACACAGCUCCCUGCGAACUCGUAAGAGGAAGUAUAGGGGGUGACGCCUGACCAAUGCCAGAAGGUCAAACAAUGGUGUUGUGCAUCUCACUGUCGUUCGAUGCACCGUGGAACAUCGCGGACUAUACGCGGAAGAACGCGGAAAGAUACCAAAAUACAGCAAUGUAUCGGUAUUUUUUCGCGACCUUCUGCGUUCGGUCUGCGUCAUUCUGCGGCACCGAGCGAGAGUGAGGUGCAUGGUGUCCGUUGUAAGCCCUGGUGAAUGUCGGCGAUAACUAUAAUCGUCCUAAGGUUUCACUACGAUACAUAUUAUAAAGAUAUGUCAAUAGUGGUGAAAGAGUUGGGACGAUUGUAAGAAGUGUGAUAAACAGAAGCAAAAUACGUCAUUAAUAAAGUCGCUACCUAGCGUUGUGGUAACACAACGUAUGCACGGGGCUCAUAUGAGAGACCAUACGCCCCGCUCCCUAAAACUUUUGCUUUGCAAAAGUUUGGGCGAUCAUUUUGUUUAUAAAAUGAUUUAGCCUAAAAUUACGGAUGAAGACAUGGUCCUUCGUGAAUCGAAGAGCGCAAUUCCUUGUCGGGUAAGAAAAUUGCUCGUCGUGAUGGUGACAUCACGAACAAAUUCGGCUUAUAACGGUGAAGUCCUCGCGGGAGUUCUCUAUGCAAGAGAGAACGUCGAACGCAAGAUAAUACCGUGGGAAGUUGUCUCGAAAGAGAUUAACCCCGUAUCGACUGGAGUCACCGCUAACUAGCGGUGACAAAGAUACUCAGCUAUAAUUAUAUUAUGGAUGAGUAUAAUACGCCGACGCUAAGAAGAGAGUUGUCGAACUAUAUUUCUGGUUACGUUGAUGGAGAAGGUUGCUUCUGCGUUUCUUUUUCAAAGAGACCGAAGCUUAAUAUGGGGUGGGAAGUAAAACCAAGUUUUGCGGUUGGUCAAAACUAUGAUCGUCGUGAAGUCUUGGAUCUGAUGAUGGAGCACUUCGCAUGUGGAUUUCUUCGUAGAGAUUACGGAGACAAGACACUAAAGUAUGAAAUCAGGAGUUUAAAAGAGUUACUUUCAAAAGUAAUUCCGCACUUCCUCGCCUUUCCUUUGAAAUCCGCAAAACAGAAAGAUUUUCUCUUGUUUGCAGAUAUUUGCGAACGUAUGGGAAGAUCUGAGCACCUUCACACUGAAGGAUUCAAAGCAAUAGUCGAUAUCGCAUGUCAGAUGAAUAGCUCCAGCAAACGGAGAUAUGCAAAAUCUGAAGUGUUUGCGACCUCUUCUCAGAUGAAGAUAUAGUCAGUGCCUCUAUGAAAAUAGAGGGGAAUCCCAUCCGGCGCACGCGCGGGUGAGGAGGUACAUGAAGUUCCGACGUGCACGAAUGGCGUAACGACUGGAGAACUGUCUCGGGACACAGCUCGGUGAAAAUACAAUAGCGGUGAAGAUGCCGCUUACCUGCAGUUAGACGGAAAGACCCCAGGAGCUUUACUGCAACUUGGUAUUGGCUUUAUGUGUGUACUGCGUAGCAUAGGUGGGAGACUUUGAAGCGUCGCUUUUGGGUGGCGUGGAGUCGUCAGUGAAAUACCACUCUGUACGUGUGUAAAGCCUAACCUGUACGGUAAAAACGUACGGCAACAGUGCCUGGUGGGCAGUUUUAGUGGGGCGCUAUCCUCCCAAAAAGUAACGGAGGAGUUCAUUAAGGUUGGCUAGGCGCGAAUGGAAACCGUGCCGAUAGUGCAAUGGCAAAAGCCAGCUUGACUGUGAGACGUCAAUGUCGAGCAGGUGCGAAAGCAGAACAUAGUGAACCGACAGUCCGUGUUAGACGCGGCUGAAGAUCAUCUGACAAAAGCUACCCUGGGGAUAACAGGCUGGUUCCGCCCAAGAGUCCAUAUCGACGGCGGAGUUCGGCACCUCGAUGUCGGCUCAACUUAUCCUGGAGGUGGAGAAGCUUCCAAGGGUUUGGCUGUUCGCCAAUUAAAAAGUUACGCGAGCUGGGUUCAGACCGUUUAGGGGGUCACGAUUAACGAAAUUCGACUUACGAUUUACGAUAAAUGCAUCUGCUGCAUUCGUAAGUCGUACUUCGUAAAUCGUAAGUCGCUGAUUUUUUAAACAAUCUGAACCCUUAGAGGUAAAUGUGUGCGUGAAGUGACCAAUCUGAAUAAUCACGGCGGCCAUAAGCAGUGAUGUUUAUGGAUUAAGUUAGUAAAAUCGGUGGAAUCCUUCUUUGAUGUAGAAGGACAAUACCGAGAGUUUCUUUCUCUGAGAAAGAAACUUGUAGAGACUGUACACUAACCAUCUCUCUGAGAUGA